rnacentral:lncRNA from 1 species
AAAAGCUUAUUCAGUGGUUACCAGUAUAACACUUUCUCUGGUAUAACCAUUCUAUAUAAAACGCAGCUAAGAAAUUGUCAGCAGAAAUAGUGCAGCUGGGAAGAAAUUGCAUGGCAAGAUGGAAUGGAAGUGAGACCAACUAGAAUGAGGAAAUCAAGCCAGUUGAAUCACUUAUAAGAAUAUAAAUACACAGUGGAAGAGUAUGGGCCACACUAGGUUUUCUAGGAGUUAUUUGGAUAAUUGCAAAGAAAAGCACUUCUCAGGAAGUGGAAUAUAUCUUAAUGGAAAAUAGAGGACAAUAAUGAUCAAGGGAUAUUCCAGAUAGCUGAAGCAACUACACCAGCAUCAGUGUGAUACUGUACUUGGGCUAACUAGAGAGAAAGACAUGAAAAGCAUACAUAUGAAGAUGCAUAAGAAAUGAGGUAAGAAAACUUCUCUGUAAUCAAUAUGAUUAAAGUUCUUACAUUCAGGUUAUAUUACUAACCUUAAUUGUAACUAUAUA